AUGACGCGGGUGUACGAGUUGGUGUGGCGGAUGCUGCACGCGCUGCCCUGUCUGCACCGCACGUUCACCUCCCGGCUCCGCGUUCGGUUCAGCACCUGGAACUGCAUUGGGCGGCGCUGCAGGCGCGCCGCCUCUGCCGCGGUCCUAGCGCCGCUGGGCUUCACGCUCCGCAAGACCCAAGCGAUUGGCAGGAACCGCCGUUUCCACAGGCACCCGCGCGGGGGGCGGGGGGGGUCGUGCCUGGCCGCCGCCCACCACCGGCUGCGCUGGAGCGAGAACUGCCGUUCCCUGGAGAAGCUGCCUGUGCGCAUGGGCCUGGUGUUCACUGAGGUGGAGCAGGAGCCCAGCUUCUCGGAUAUUGCAAGCCUCGUGGUGUGGUGCAUGGCCGUGGGCAUCUACUACAUUCACGUCUACGACUACCAAGAGACAGGAGCUGGGAUUACAGGCAUUUUCAAAAGAAAUAAUUCCAGAUUGAUGGAUGAAAUUUUAAAACAACAGCAAGAACUUCUGGGCCUAGAUUGUUCAAAAUAUUCACCAGAGUUCGCAAAUAGUAAUGACAAAGAUGAUCAAGUUUCAAAUUGUCAUUUGGCAGUGAAGGUGCUGUCCCCGACAGAUGGAAAAGCAGAUACUGUGAGAGCUGCUCAGGACUUUUGCCAGUUAGUAGCCUAGAAGCAAAAGAGACCCACAAAUUUGGAUGUAGAUAUGUUAGGCAGUUUACUUAGUUCAAAUGGUUGUCCUGAUGCUGAUUUAGUAUUGAAGUUUGGUCCUGUGGACAGCACAUUAGGCUUUCUUCCCUGGCACAUCAGAUUGACUGAGAUUGUCUCUUUGCCUUCCCACCUAAACAUCAGUUAUGAAGAUAUUUUCUCUGCCCUUCGUCAACAUGCAGCCUGUGAACAGCGUCUGGGAAAGUAGUGGUCAUAGGUUUCAUAAUUUGAUUUUAGGCUUAUAGAGGAAAGGACCCAAGUGACUCUGAUGUUUACAAAGCACCUAUGAAACCCUGUACACACCUAGUUCGUAAUCCUCAUAAUUUAUCAGCAAA